CGCGUUUUGGAUUUAAAAAUAUAUGUUGUCGUGUCCUGAUUGGUUCCUGAGCACGCGUGUUUCACUUUAGCGUGUGUUAUAAUAUUUUAUUUGCUGAAGGCGGUAGCUAACACCAAAGGGCGCUUGGCCCAGUGGAAGGGGGUUGACCCCAUGACUUAAUGGUUAGGGAUUCAACCCCCAUCAUGUCCAUUGUAAUGUUUU
rnacentral:lncRNA from 1 species